rnacentral:rRNA from 1 species
UUGAACGCUGGCGGCAUGCUUUACACAUGCAAGUCGAACGGUAGACCCUUUCGGGGGUUGAGAGUGGCGAACGGGUGAGUAAUGCAUCGGAACAUACCCAGUCGUGGGGGAUAACGUAGCGAAAGUUACGCUAAUACCGCAUGAGUCCUGAGGGAGAAAGCGGGGGAUCGCAAGACCUCGCGCGAUUGGAGUGGCCGAUGUCAGAUUAGCUAGUUGGUGGGGUAAAGGCCUACCAAGGCGACGAUCUGUAGCGGGUCUGAGAGGAUGAUCCGCCACACUGGGACUGAGACACGGCCCAGACUCCUACGGGAGGCAGCAGUGGGGAAUUUUGGACAAUGGGGGAAACCCUGAUCCAGCCAUGCCGCGUGAGUGAAGAAGGCCUUCGGGUUGUAAAGCUCUUUCAGGAGGGAAGAAACGGUUGCGGCUAAUACCCGCGACUAAUGACGGUACCUUCAGAAGAAGCACCGGCUAACUACGU